rnacentral:lncRNA from 1 species
UCUUGUUCAAUACAGUUCCAUAGUUUACCGUAUCACUUGAUGAACAGCAAUUUACAAACCAAUCUGUAUACCCUAGGUCCCCAGCAUUACCGUGGAAGAAAUGAAGAAGUCGUAUCCUGGCCCUAGCAUGAAAAACUGAGAAAUCCAUAUCCUACUGAAAGAAGCACAGGGAUACAGCAUAGCAACAUGUCUUUGUCCACAAACUGCUAAUAUAGGUUUGUUACAACCAUUCAUCAUCAUGCAAAUUUCACAAGCUAAUGAGGGUGAAAAACGACACCCCCUUGUACAAAAAAGAGAGCCAAUCCAGUCAACAGACACGAAAACGUCAGAGACAUGGGACAAUAUUCACAUGAAACACAGAGGUAAAGAAACUAAAAUCCAAAGCGCUCGUUCCAGAUUUGCAACAGCAAUCAAUACAUCAGCACUCAAACAGGUCUGCAGAUGCCAUUAUGGGUUGUAUCGGACAUGGGAUCUGCCAGGGCUUCAUCAACGGGUCGGGUAUCUCGGGAAUAUCAAUCGCCAGCCCACUGACCACCUCCACGAUCUCGAGCACCGAGUUCAGGGACCGGAGCCUGUCGGUAAGCUCCAUGGCCUGGGCCCUGAGGACAUUGUUUGCCAACUCGACCUCGGCAUACUUCUGCGCAGCAGCAUUGAUACUCGCCACGAGCUGAGCAUUAGCCUGCUGCAGUUGCCCCACUUCUCCGACCAAAUCCCCCAGCUGCUUCUGCCUCCUCAUCCGGGAGCGCCUGGCGGAUUCCCUGUUGGACUCCAUCCUCUUCCUCUUCCUUUCAUCAUCGGCCACCCCACCGAGCCUCGGGUCGCCAUCGGAUCCUGAGCUCGCCUGACGCCGAACCGAACCCAUUUUCGAGGGCCUUUCCACGCAAUCAAUCAAUCACUCGAUUCAGAAAACGACCGAUCAAAGGGUCUCCGCGUGCCGGGAGUUAUUUCGCUUUUGCUUCUCAGACAACGAAUUCCGAUGGAAUCAAAGUGAGGCACGAAUCGCGAUCAAUCGGAGAGAGAGAGACGGGCGUUCAUGAGAAGACGUAGAACCAAUAGAGGAACACCACCGAGAAGGAGUGGACGAUCCGCACCCGGAACAUGAGGAUCGCGUAGUUCAUAACUCGGUUUCCCACAUCUGAAAACCCUAGACCAUCUACCACAAGCGCUCAACCAGUACCCUCCGAUUCUCAGCCCAACGCAACGAAGGGGAAAACGAAAACGGCGACAACGCAGCGGAAAGACAGCAGAGAGAGAGAGAAGGGGGACGUAAACUUAGCUGGCGGCGGCGGCGGCGGCGGCGGAACGCGCGAACCAGAGAGAGGUCGAAGAAGGUGAGGAAAGGAGGGGAGGAGGGGUUUUUAUAGAGGAGGCUCGCGGGCUUCGAUUGGUCUGCCGGGAAAACGAAUAUUCCCAGAAUCUUUUUUUUUUGGGUGUAAUUUAUUAGGACGGAUUUUGCUUAGGCGUGUCCCAAUUGCCCAAUCACAUUCGGAAGCGUAAGAUUAUAUUUCUUUCUUUAAUUAAAAAAAAAACUGAAAUUGCCUUUUUAACGAAUCGAUAAAAGAAGAAAAUACACGAGAUGCUUCAAGGAUGAACGAAUGUGAAAAUCUAUAUCGGAGAUGUGGAGGAAUCUAGAGAUCCUCUUCUGAUUUUAUUUUGCCGGUGGUUUCUUUUUUUAUCUUUUUAUUUAUCGAUGGACAACUAAUAUCCGACUUAAUCUAUUUAUAAAAUCUCUUUCUUUACGCGACCGUGUAACCAAAAUACAGGGGGGGAACAGAUGUUCUUAAAUUUAAAUUGUUUUUGGUGGGGGAGGGAAAGAAUGACGUCAUGGCGCACGUCUGAUGUGGCGUGGGAUUGGUCGGAUCUCAUCGUCGUCGCGGUAGUUGGUGCUGCCCAUGUUCAAUGUAAUGCGCACGUUGUUUGGGAUCUUAUCCAGUAGCAUCACACUUUUUUUUUUUUUUUGAGCAACAGUAGCAUCACACUUUACAGAGCAGGCCAAAACCGUGGGUUUGACUGGGUCAAACAUCGAACGUCGGAUCUUCUUGGAUACAUCCCCCCUGGAAAAAUGCUCGCGAGCGCCAAGUUGUGAUAAGGAGAGAUAUUUAUUUUAAUGUUUUAUGUUUUAAGACAUUAAUUUCCCGAUACCUUUUAAUUUUCGUAAAAAAGGACUUGCGCAGUGGAAAUUAGUCAGGAUCUGUAAAAUACGGGCUAUAUCUUGGACUUCCAAAAUUGAAAUUGGAUGAAAAGAAUACGUAAGUGAUUUGGUGAAAGCAGAUAGCCGUUUGGAAAUUAAUUGUGAAAAUAUGUAGGUGGGCUCUUGGUGAGAAAAUAGGGAUAGAAAUCAAAGUGGAUAGUGGAUUUGGGGAUUGCAAACAUUGCAUCAUGAAAUAGUACUAGAAAAAUGAUCAUUGCAAUUUGUUUAUUCCACAAAAAAUGAAUGAUUUGAAAAAAACACCCCAUUACUGCAAUCCGUUUAUUUCACAAUAAAUGAAUAAUUUGAAAAAAAUGAACUCAAUGAACAAUACUAAUCACAACCAAGAGCCAACUAUCGGCUCCCAAGGAGCAAACCUAGGACACUGUGCCCAAACUUGCGAUCUUGACACUUUAAUCGAGAAUGAUAUAUUUCAUAUUAAGGUUAAAAUUACAUGGUACCGGCACAAGAUGCAACAAACUCGAGAUGCAUAACAUAUAUAUAAGGUCGAACGACAUGAGAUUUGUAAUACCAUUUUUUUUUCAGUCCAAUCAGAGUUAUNNNNNNNNNNNNNNNNNNNNNNNNNNNNNNNNNNNNNNNNNNNNNNNNNNNNNNNNNNNNNNNNNNNNNNNNNNNNNNNNNNNNNNNNNNNNNNNNNNNNGCAUUCUGAUUAGUAUGUAUAACAUAGUCGAGAAAGAUGAAUCAGAUAACCUUCAUUCCAACUUCGAAAUCUGCAAGGACGUCAUUUCCCAAUAUGGCGAACCAGUCCAGAAACCUUGUAGGGAAAUGACGAACCAAUCCAGAAACCUUGUGGCUACGCAAUAUAGACAAUUAUUUUGAAACGAUGUGAUGUCUUAUACUAAUCAACACUGGCACAACUAGCAGUAGAUGCCAAUGCUAAUUUAGCUCGCACAAAUUCGCUGAGCAAGAAGGGGAGUUGAAGCAUCUAAGACAGAAAAACUAACUCGCUUGCUAAAUGAUUUGGACAUAUAGAACAACAAGAAUUGUGAUCUUCAUAUCACUAGCGUUCAUCCAACCAAAAUAACAACAGCAACUUGGACGCGGAUUGGGAAAAAGACCUACUGCGAGACAAGAUACAGGACACAAGUCAUACCUCACAACAAAAUAUCUUCGGAGCAGUUAAAAAAUAGCAUCUCCUGGUCUUAACUCGCCCAACUGAGGAACAGCAUAGAACGAACACUAGGCUAGACGAGUGCCCAAGGAAUGAAGUCGUGCAUGAUUGUGCCACAAACAGAGCACAACAAGAAAACCACCUAAUGAUCGAACGGAACCUCAAAAACAAAAAAGGUUAUGAGUAUGUACAAUCAUGAGGCAAACUCCUAUCGGAUUGUUCUAAAACGUCCCUCUUGUUCAAUGCAGUUCCAUAGUUUACUACAUCACUUGAUGAACAGCAAUUUACAAACCAAUCUGUAUAGCCUAGGUCCCAAGCAUUGCUGCGGAGGAAAUGAAGAAAUCGUAUUCUGGGCCUAGCAUGAAAAACUGAGAAAUCCAUAUCCUACUGAAAGAAGCACGGGGAUACAGCAUAGCAACAUGUCUUUGUCCACAAAUUGCUGAUAUAGGUUUGUUACAACCAUUCAUCAUCAUACAAAUUUCACAAGCUAAUGAGGGUGAAAAACGACACCCAAUUGUACAAAAAAGAGAGCCUAUCCAGUCAUCAGACACGAAGUCGACAUUUUACCGCUGCCGAUGAGACGGACAUCAGAGACAUCGGACAAUAUACACAUGAAACACAGAG